rnacentral:rRNA from 1 species
ACACUCCUACGGGAGGCAGCAGUGGGGAAUUUUGGACAAUGGGCGAAAGCCUGAUCCAGCAAUGCCGCGUGAGUGAAGACGGCCUUCGGGUUGUAAAGCUCUUUUGUCAGGGAAGAAACGGUGAGAGCUAAUAUCUUUUGCUAAUGACGGUACCUGAAGAAUAAGCACCGGCUAACUACGUGCCAGCAGCCGCGGUAAUACGUAGGGUGCAAGCGUUAAUCGGAAUUACUGGGCGUAAAGCGUGCGCAGGCGGUUUUGUAAGUCUGAUGUGAAAUCCCCGGGCUCAACCUGGGAAUUGCAUUGGAGACUGCAAGGCUAGAAUCUGGCAGAGGGGGGUAGAAUUCCACGUGUAGCAGUGAAAUGCGUAGAUAUGUGGAGGAACACCGAUGGCGAAGGCAGCCCCCUGGGUCAAGAUUGACGCUCAUGCACGAAAGCGUGGGGAGCAAACAGGAUUAGAAACCCUAGUAGUCCCA